CGGAGUUGCUACAACCCCAAGUUAAGCACGCGCACGAGGAUACAUAAAGCUCCGAUCAGUGGAGCACAGAUUAAGCGAGUCACCAUGGAGACGGAGGGAAAGAAGGCGCGGUCGACGUAUUUCACAGCGCUCGAGGCGGAAAUUCUGAUGGCAGCAUAUGCCGACAGCAUGCACAUCAUGCAGAAAAAAAGUAACACAGCCGCAGCUGCAAAGGAAAGGGAGCAUGCAUGGCAAAACAUAGCCGACAGAGUCAAUGCGUGCAACCCAACAGGCCCCAAACGUUCCUGGCAGCAAGUAAAAAUGAAGUAUAAAAACAUAGUCCAAACAGCCAACAGAAAAAAAGCGGAGGCCCGAAAAACAGGUGGGGGUCCUCCACCACCACCACUCACAGAGGCUGAGCAGUUGGCCCUCAGCCAAAACAGUGGGCGCCCUGUGGCUGAAGGCAUCUCUGCGGGGACAUCCUCUGUGGCAACAACCCCACAAGACACAAGUGCCUACAUAAGGGUUGACGGUGAUGGUGUACUGCAUCUGGUGCAGCCCCCUGUUGAGCCAGACCGACAUGCAGUUGCACAUGAUGACGAAACAGUGACAGCUGCUACAGAGGAGGCCGCAACAGAGCCACACUAUGAGAGUGAUGCUGGAAAUGAAGAGGAAGAGGGUCCAGCCACUCCUACAACGAACCUUUCCACACUCCCUGUGAAGCAGCUGUAUAAGACAUAUCUGGCCAGGAAGAUAAGAAAGUGCGACAUGGAAAUGGUGCACCUCCAGCUGCAGAUCCAAAAGUCGAAGCUGGAGAUUGUACUGCUGGAACAACAGUUAAGGGACAUACAGGGUGACCAAUAAAGGCAGUUGACCAC
ensembl:lncRNA